rnacentral:lncRNA from 1 species
AAAUUCUAAAAUUAUAUUUAUUGGCCAAUUCACAGAAAGUGCUGUAGUGAUCACAAAAAUGACUUUGGUUUUAUACAUGUAUGGAUGUACAGAACAAAUUUUAAAAUAACAGACCUAUUUGGAAUAUGAAUUUAAUCAGUCCUGUGGAAAACAUAUGGAUACUAAAAUUUUGAAUUCAUAAAUGACUGUGAAAAUUGACAUGGCUUUUAUGAAGUACGCCACUAUGCCAUGGAGGAGCUUUUGUACAACUUCUUUCUCUGUGUAAAGUUAGGGUUUGUGUACUAUACUGUGUGUCAAAGUUUACCGUACAUUUUCAUUAAGAAAGGGUUGGGUUUUCUUUUUUUUUAAAGAGCUGAUUCAUAUAUGUUUAAAAAAAAUCAUUUCAUAUUAAUAUUUUCAUUUGCAUAUAGUCAUUUAAUUCAUUGUACUGCAUAAAUUGUGUAGAUUCAUGCUUUCAGAUAUGCAUUUAACAUCUGCAACAAGACAUUUCAAGAUACGGUUUAUGGUUGUUUCACAUAAACUACAAGAUAUUUCAUGUAAGAGCAUUUUUCCUGGGCUGAACAGUCUGUUGGUUUGAGACACAUUUACGGAGUACAACCAUUGUAUGUACAACCAUACAGCAUAUGUUUAUUUAAUCCCUUCUCUGGUAUAGUUUUCAUUAUCCAUAGAAGUGGCCUCAACUACACAGAAUUUGGACAGCUAGGAAGCGAUCCCAAGCUACAAAAUCCAUGCUGCCAACUGCAGUUACUGCUCCUUAACAAGAACCAAUGCACUAACACAGAAGCAAUCUGGCAAAUUACGAACUGUGUGGGAAAAAUUGUACAUUUUUGCAGGCAGAUGAAAUAACAUUUUUACUGUCAAGAGAUGAUGACACAUGAAAUAGAAUUAUGCCAGCCAAUUAGAGCACAGCUGUUACAUUCAACAUGAUAAUUUCUCAGCUCUUCAAAAUCCUACUCCCUCAGGGGAGUAUCUGAUUCCUGCCCUGUUGCUCAUCACAAGUCAUGUUUUACAUCUCCUUGCUCAGGAAUUCGUCUUCUUUUUCCUCUCUUUUGUGUUUCAACCUGACCUUCCAAGACUCAUUCAUCUUCCCUCCUGUCCAUCAGACUUUGAGUACUCCUCAUGCCAUGGCUCAUUUUGGGAAGGUGGGCAGAGCAGUGACAGCAAACAGCCAAUGCCAAGGAAGUAAUUAUUUGCUCAUGUGACCUAAACCCACUCCUGGCAAUUAAUUUCCUACAAUAUGGUUUGCACAAAUUACACCCACUAGGGACAUAGAUGUGCUGAGGGAAGCAGAGAACUCCCUAAAGUCACCCCUGGAACCCUCAGUGUUCCUGCUCUCCCCUUCACUCCAAUCCUUGCAAACAGCGCAAAUGAAGAAGAAAUCAAAUUCUAUUUCCCUUGGGUUUUAAGUGAUGCAGUGGUUCUUCCAGCACAAGUAUUCCAGUUCUGGUUUGGAGUUCAGGUACAGGAAGCAGGAGCAGGUGAAGAAAACACAUCAAUGAAAAGACCAAAGCUGCCUUUGUACAUCUUCUCUGUUUGCCUGUGUGGCUUCUGAGCCAGCAAACACAGGCUUGCUUGGGAAAUGAUUGAAAAUAUACUGCAUGGUCAUCAUGCCAGCCAGAGAUCAGAAAUGGAUCAUAAAUUUGCAAUAUAAGGAUCAGCAUGGCAAUUAUCAGAAGAGCUGGCAAAAUUCUAUUUCUUUGUACCAGUUAGUGCCUAUCUAGAAAUCUUGAGCAUUUGUUUUAGAAAGCAGGUGCAUUCUGUUGACAUUUGAGGAGAAGCAGUAUUAUCUGUCUUUAAGUGAAAGUACUAGUUAAUAGCUGCUGUUUAGUGUAGGGACCCUUAAAACCAUGGGCCCAUGAAUGACAGUCUGUUUUUACAAUAAUGACAGCAACCUAAUUUUUAACAAAUUAUACUUUGUAUUACUGUUUGCUUGUCUGUAGUGUUUAUUGGUUGGCUUUGUUAAAUCAUACCCAUUUAAAAGACACUGCCAAAUUAAUAUCAUAUGAGAACUUAUCCAUGGAUUACAAAAAAGAUUUUUUAAAAAUCAAGUUUCAAUUUAAAUUUAUUGUUUAAACUUUGACAACUUAUGCAGUGACAUCAGCAACACAGAACACCUUAACAGAGUGAACUGACAGUGACUCAUUUAAGGAAAUACUAGGGGAUUUAAUUUGUAUAUUAAAGACAUUUCAUGAAAAGGUAAGAAACACAAAACUCAAGGAAUGAAUUGGGAUGAGGAGGGAUUCACAGCUUCUCUAGUAAAUUACCAAAGGCAAUGAACUUGAUAACUAUCUAAAAAUAUUCAAAGGAUAUAAAUCAUGGUUAGAGGAACUAUUUAGAGUGGCUCAAAAGGGUCUAACUGGGACUAAUGAGAUAAAAAUUAUAAAAAGGAUUAUUUAAAUUCAUUUUCAGGAAAAACUUUCUAAUGGUGAACUCUAAUAGACUCUAGAACAAUCUCCCAGGGCAAGCAGUAGAAGCCCCAGGCUUAGAAACAUUUAAGUAGGUUGAAGCACCCCCAUCCCUAACGCUAAAAAAUAUAUUAUAGGAAAGAAUUCUGCACUAUUAGCAUAAUACUCUACUUGCACUACUUUUUCCUUUUGUCUACUAAUAUUUAUUUCUAGGAUUUGAAGUUUACUAUGAACUUCGAAAUACACUGAUGUUGAGAUGAAACAGUUCUCAGGAAGCCCACCCAUAGUGUGUAUUACCCUGCAAAGCAAUAAUCCACCUUGGUGUAUCUUUCCAUCCCUGUCAUGAUGACCCUUUGAACAGAAUUGCCUGUUAACCACAACCAAAAAUUUACUCAACUGGUGGUGCAGUAUUUGUAACAGAAUACGUACAAAAACCCCAUCUCUUUUCAGAUGUACCUCACACUUUUUUUAUCAGUUUGUGGAGAGGCCAAAAAUAAAUGUGCCAGUAGUUGAUUCUGAGAAUGAAGGCAAUAACUUCACCUCUCAGAUUGGCACAGACAUGGUCAUUAUCCUUAAAAAGUUUUAUAUUAUGUAUAUUUUCAAAAAUCAGGAUUCCUAACUGUGUGGCCAUUUAGGAGAUUGUAUCACCACAAAAAGUUUACUUGAGGUCCUUUUCAGUAUGGAAUAUAGUCUGUCUGUCUCCAGCUCCUCAUCAACCCAUAGAGUAUGUUUGUUGUAGAAAAUCUCUAAAACUAAUCAACAACUCUGUGGGCAAAAGGUCAAUUUCUUACCUCAAAUUAAACUGUGUGGUAAACUGUACCCUCAGACUCAAGUCACAGCAGACAGAAUGUUUGCCCCAAUCCCCCUGGGCUGGCCUUGGCUCUAAAUUUUUCUAUUUAAUGCACACACAGUGUAGCAACACCUCUCACGGCCCUGCUCCCUUCCCAGCUCUGCUGGAGGUGCUGUAACUGGAACUCAAGGAGGCAACUUUAGCAUCAACCAAGCUAAAAAUCUGCAAGUUCUCCUUCAUCAUAACAGCCACCACCUCCCCUUGGGCACCAUUCUGUGAUUUUCUUGUACACACAUAUGUAUAUGUAUUCAACACACAUAUGUGUGUAUCGCAUCUAUGUCUGGUCAUCUCGGAACCCUUUGACAUCUGACAUUCAUUCUCUUUCUUGUUCAUCGUGACAGUGUCAGUUCUGGCAUGGAAACAGAAAAUGUUUCAAUUUUCUUACUAUUUGACACUCAAGGUUUUAUGUCUCUUUCUUUUCUACGAGAUUGAAUUUCAACUUUUUUCACAUAAUUGUAAACUCUUUCUGUUAUUCAUGCAGUAUUCUCUUCUGCUUUCCUGUUCACUCUUCCUUAAAUAAUAAUUUGAUUUUCUAGUGGAACUGACUGUAGUUGAUCCAUUCCACAUUCUAAAGAGCUUCCCAGUUAAAACAACUGUCCACCUUCUCCUCUACCAUACAUUAAGCAGUUUGUAGACAAGGAUUUAUUGCCAAUUUCAGUACUGGUUUGAAAUGUCAUUGUAGUCACAGACUUGGCUAGGGUUGUCUGAUCAAGUCUUUUGUACCUGUUUAUAUAUUUAGGUUAGGCAGGAGUAGAAAAAAAAAAAGACAUUGUAAUUUUAAUAACUUUUUGCUUUUUCCCCCCCUUAGUAUAUCCUGAAACCUUCAGCCAAAAAUAGUUUUAUGGGUUAGUACACGAAAGGACACCUGAAAAGAACUUUAUACCCAGGUGGGAAGUUAAAUGCCUCUGAAAACCCAAAACUGUAUCCAGAUUUACACAAAAGGAAUAGGGCUGCAGAAAAGCAUUUUACUCGAUGAAAUUUUCUCGGUUUCUGAAGUAUAAGGAUGGAAUACCAUUGCAAAAUCUUUGUUCCCUAUUUGGAAGCUUCUUCUCAUUGCAUGUGGCAAGCUUUGUGCACCUUUCCCGGGGAAAGCUGAAUGUUUUUAUUGUACAAUGUACUUAACUGGGAAAAAAACUGCUGCUUUUUUGUUCUCAGCACAGACAUAAAUAGUGACAGUACAUGGGCAUGGAGCUUCAACAGCUGAUGAAUGCACAAUUUCCCCAUGAGCUAGUACUCAAAAUAAGAAUGAGGGCUUUUCCUGAACUCUGUUUCACACAUUUGCAGUGCUUCAUGCUGCUGAGUGUGUUUCUUUAGAGGCAGUAACUAAUAAAGCACCAGCCCAGAGCUCUCCACUGUAACCAUUGUGUCUUUCCCUCUGCAUGUGUUUGGAGUCUUCAUCAUGGAGGGCUGGGAGCAGAGCUGCAGGAGAAUUACUGAAUUAUGGUUCACCACCAGGCUCUUUAACAGGGCUAUUCCAAAGGAUUCUAGCAGCACUGUUCCUGUUGCCAGCAGAGACAUGGAAACCAUAACGAGCAAACCACUGGCGAUACCUACUCCAAAGGCAGCAAAAUGCCUCUAGGGAAAAAGUGUACCUGCUCUGGUGCCUGCCUUUUCAUCACCAGGAAUGAAGUUAUGAACAUACAAAACUUCCUGGGUUCAUUUUAUUCUGCUAAGUUUCAAUAAUGAGGGCUACAGUUGUUUUAUUACUUUAAACUCCUAUCUUAGACAGAGGCUUAUGAAAUUAAAGCCCUUGCUCCCCUUUCGUUUUUGCACUGUUCAAGUGUUGUGUAUUUUUAAUUUGUGACCAUGUCUUUUUCAGAGAAAACCAAAAUCAGAAAGAACAUACCAGGCUUGAACCUUGCUAAUCCUACAAAGGUGAUGAAUUAUAAUUACUUUAUGAGAGAUCACUGGAGCAAUUUUCCCAAUAUAUUUAGCAGAAAUAUUUCUUGAGACUGGGUGUGUUAAAAGAGUAUGAUUUUUGCUGUGCAGUAGCUUUAGUGGCUAUCUCUAUUCUUUGUAUCUUUAUUCUUCAUGCUAACAAAAAUGAAGUUGGAUUCCAGGAGAGUCUAGCAAUCAGAAGUCUGAUCACUGGAUACACAAUCUGAGACAUGCAGCUUUAGGGAACCUGAUCCAUUUCAGUUUACAUAACAUCUCACAUAUUGCUUGUUUAUGCCUUUCUUUAUUAAAAAAAAAAAAAAAAAAA